UACGUAGGGUGCGAGCGUUAAUCGGAAUUACUGGGCGUAAAGCGUGCGCAGGCGGUUUUGUAAGACAGGUGUGAAAUCCCCGGGCUUAACCUGGGAAUGGCGUCUGAAACUACGGAGCUAGAGUGUGGCAGAGGGAGGUAGAAUUCCACGUGUAGCGGUGAAAUGCGUAGAUAUGUGGAGGAAUACCGAUGGCGAAGGCAGCCUCCUGGGCCAACACUGACGCUCAUGCACGAAAGCGUGGGGAGCAAACAGG
rnacentral:rRNA from 1 species